AUCUGAAUCUCCUAGAAGAGGAAGACAGGAGACGAGAUCCUUUUCAGCUGGGCAGGGAUGAGGCCCGGAGCCCUGGGGGACCUGGGCGACCCUCCCCUUCUGUCUUAGGGCUCGUCCCAAUGUCUCCUGGCCUGGAAGCCCCCCAGCUCCCUCGGUGUCCCAUCCCAGGUGAGUCCCCCUUUCCAAGUCACACUUGGGGCCAGGCAUGGCCUCCCCCUCCCCCUGGCUACUCCUGAGCUCCUCAAGGGCCCAAGGCCUCUUCUUGGCCCCCUCCUCCCUGGGCUUUCAUGGUGCUGCACAGUGGACGCCACCUUCUCAGGCUGCUCUAUGUCACUGGCCUGCUGCACCCUCCCCCCAAUGUGCUGAGGCUCCUCAUCCUCAGUGGCUUCCCCCAUGCUGUAACCCAGGGAUGCUCGUGGCCCUCCACAGCCAUGGGACGGCCUUUUCCUGUGUGGUCACCAGCAUCCCUUACUAACAGAAUUAAACUCUCCGGGUCUCAGAAAAAGUAACACAAGAGCCAAACGCUUGCACAUGAUUCCCCCAAAAUACCACCAAAAGAUCAGACUCACAAUGACUGUGAUGGGUAACUCCUGCUUAGGUACACAAUUCCCAGCAAAUACUGUGCCACAAGCUGAGCCCCGAAUGUUCACCCCCCCCCCAACUCAUCCUCCUAAAGCCAGGCCUAAACCAUGCGCCGCCUUGCCUCGGGGACUUGAUCGGAGCCAUCAAGACCCUCCUUGAGAAACUCCCCGACAAGUCCUGAAAAAUGGUUGGGCUAAACCGAAGUCUGACUUGUGUUCUCGGCUCCCCUCUGGCCGUCCGCCUCGCGGCUGUGACUGCCGACCAUCUGGAGCUUCCGACGGAUGGCCUCAGUGCCAGGGAAUCGGGGACUUCCCUCACUGUCUAUGAGCUCAGAGGCCUGCCAACGUCCCAAGAACAUUAAGCCUCCCGGGCUGGCAUCGUUUCUCUUGAGUUUCCCGUCAGAAGCAACAGCUCUCACACAGAGGUCUAGAAUGACCUUAGAACGUCAAACAAUGUGUUAAAAGUUCACAUGUAGCUUAUCAAUUAUCUUCACUCCAACAUGUAUGUUGAAGGAUGUAUCUGUGUGCCAAGAAAAUGGGUACAAAAAUAAAGGCUAAACCUGGGCAUGGCGAAGCAGCCACUUGAUGCAGA